rnacentral:sRNA from 1 species
GCCAGGUGUGGUGGCGCUAGCCUGUAAUCCCAGCAGCUUGGGAGGCUGAGACAGGAGGAUCUGAAGUUCCAGGCCAACCUCAGCAAUUUGGCCAGACCCUGUCUAAA